AACGUAGGAGACAAACGUUAUCCGGAGUUACUGGGCGUAAAGGGCGUGUAGGUGGUUUCGUAAGUCUGGCGUGAAAUUUCUCGGCUUAACCGAGGCAGGUCGUCGGAUACUGCGAGGCUAGAGGACGGUAGAGGCGUGUGGAAUUCCGGGUGUAGUGGUGAAAUUCGUAGAUAUUCGCAAGAACACCGGUGGCGAAGGCGGCCAACUGGACCAUUACUGACGCUGAGGCGCGAAAGCGUGGGGAGCAAACAGG
rnacentral:rRNA from 1 species